rnacentral:rRNA from 1 species
UACGUAGGGUGCGAGCGUUGUCCGGAAUUAUUGGGCGUAAAGGGCUCGUAGGCGGUUUGUCGCGUCGGGAGUGAAAACCUUGGGCUUAACUCAGGGCUUGCUUUCGAUACGGGCAGACUAGAGGUAUGCAGGGGAGAACGGAAUUCCUGGUGUAGCGGUGAAAUGCGCAGAUAUCAGGAGGAACACCGGUGGCGAAGGCGGUUCUCUGGGCCUUACCUGACGCUGAGGAGUGAAAGCGUGGGGAGCGAACGGG